UCCGGUCAAACACUUUUCACUGUCGGAUUCUCAGUCCUUUUUCAAGUCCUGAUACGCCCAGCUUCCAGGUUCGGUAAAACACCAGGAGUUACACCAACCACCCACACAUUUCCCAGUAUGAAAAACAACAAAUCUUUCCCUGUGUCCUUAUUUCUUCAUCUAAUAUUCUAACCUGCCAGUCCAAGAAUCACACGAGUAGGACUGCAGGACCAGAGGUUUCUACGUACCACUCGGAUUGCAACUUGGAUUUCUACAGACUAAGAUUAACAUAAAUCCCUGCUCUAUUCUAAACUGCCAGCCCACUGCAUGCAAACGUGGGACCCCAGUCACCAGAGGUAUCUACGUACCACACGGAUUGCAACUUGGAUUUCUACAGACUAAAAUUAACAUAAAUCCCUGCUCUAUUCUAAACUGCCAGCCCACUGCAUGCAAACGUGGGACCCCAGUCACCAGAGGUAUCUACGUACCACACGGAUUGCAACUUGGAUUUCUACAGACUAAAAUUAACAUAAAUCCCUGCUCUAUUCUAAACUGCCAGCCCACUGCAUGCAAACGUGGGACCCCAGUCACCAG
ensembl:lncRNA